AGAGCCCGGAGAUGGAUUCUGAGACACGAAUCCAGGCCCUACGGGGCGCAGCAGGCGCGAAAACUUUGCAAUGCGGGAAACCGUGACAGGGGAACUCCGAGUGCCCGUUAAAUCGGGCUGUCCAUCAGUUUAAAUAACUGGUGAAGAAAGGGCCGGGCAAGACCGGUGCCAGCCGCCGCGGUAAUACCGGCGGCUCGAGUGGUGGCCACUAUUACUGGGCUUAAAGCGUUCGUAGCUGGUUUGUUAAGUCUCUGGGGAAAUCUUCCGGCUUAACCGGAAGGCGUCUCAGGGAUACUGGCAGACUAGGGACCGGGAGAGGUGAGGGGUACUCCAGGGGUAGGAGUGAAAUCCUGUAAUCCUUGGGGGACCCCCUGUGGCGAAGGCGCCUCACCAGAACGGCUCCGACAGUGAGGGACGAAAGCUGGGGGAGCAAACCGGAUUAGAUACCCGGGUAGUCCCAGCUGUAAACGAUGCGCGUUAGGUGUAUCGGUGACCACGAGUCACCGAGGUGCCGAAGAGAAAUCGUGAAACGUGCCGCCUGGGAAGUACGGUCGCAAGGCUGAAACU
rnacentral:rRNA from 1 species